GAUGAACGCUGGCGGCGUGCUUAACACAUGCCAGUCGAACGAUGAAGCCCAGCUUGCUGGGUGGAUUAGUGGCGAACGGGUGAGUAACACGUGAGUAACCUGCCCUUAACUCUGGGAUAAGCCUGGGAAACUGGGUCUAAUACCGGAUAGGAGCGUCCACCGCAUGGUGGGUGUUGGAAAGAUUUAUCGGUUUUGGAUGGACUCGCGGCCUAUCAGCUUGUUGGUGAGGUAAUGGCUCACCAAGGCGACGACGGGUAGCCGGCCUGAGAGGGUGACCGGCCACACUGGGACUGAGACACGGCCCAGACUCCUACGGGAGGCAGCAGUGGGGAAUAUUGCACAAUGGGCGCAAGCCGGAUGCAGCGACGCCGCGUGAGGGAUGACGGCCUUCGGGUUGUAAACCUCUUUCAGUAGGGAAGAAGCGAAAGUGACGGUACCUGCAGAAGAAGCACCGGCUAACUACGUG
rnacentral:rRNA from 1 species